rnacentral:rRNA from 1 species
UACGAAGGGUGCAAGCGUUACUCGGAAUUACUGGGCGUAAAGCGCACGUAGGCGGCGACCCAAGUCAGAGGUGAAAGCCCGGGGCUCAACCCCGGAACUGCCUUUGAAACUAGGUUGCUAGAAUCUUGGAGAGGUCAGUGGAAUUCCGAGUGUAGAGGUGAAAUUCGUAGAUAUUCGGAAGAACACCAGUGGCGAAGGCGACUGACUGGACAAGUAUUGACGCUGAGGUGCGAAAGCGUGGGGAGCAAACAGG